GCUUCACGUGCAAAAGCUGGGCUAUUAAUACCUCAAAGUAAAGGUAUUCAUUACUUCAUGAAAAAUUAACCUCACAGUUACCCCUGCUCUUCAAAGACUCUUGUAAAAAGUUCUAAAAUUUGGUUGUGACUCUGAACGUACAGCCAGUCUUCACCCGCCAAUGUUAACUAAAUGAUCCCUGGUCUGCAUUUUCCCUAGCACAUACUUAGAGUGAACUGCUGUGUAAGCAAGUGAAGGAAUGUCGCAUCAU
rnacentral:lncRNA from 1 species